GAUGAACGCUGGCGGCGUGCCUAAUACAUGCAAGUCGAACGCGAGCAGCAAUGCUCGAGUGGCGAACGGGUGAGUAAUACAUAAGUAACCUGCCCUAGACAGGGGGAUAACUGCUGGAAACGGCAGCUAAGACCGCAUAGGUAUGGACACUGCAUGGUGACCAUAUUAAAAGUGCCAAGGCACUGGUAGAGGAUGGACUUAUGGCGCAUUAGCUGGUUGGUGAGGUAACGGCUCACCAAGGCGACGAUGCAUAGCCGAGUUGAGAGACUGAUCGGCCACAUUGGGACUGAGACACGGCCCAAA
rnacentral:rRNA from 1 species